UAAAGCCCUUAAUGACAAGACAUGGCAUGUGGCGGCUGCCUGUUCCAUAUGCCACCCCAUCUUCAGUUAAUUUCUGAGUGGAUGGGAUACUUUCAGCUAUUCAAAUGAUGAUUAUUGACCCAGUCUCUCCAAUCCAAUCCUGCCUUCUCCACAUGGAAGACAGCUAAGAAAACUGCUCAGAUUUCCUUUUUUCAACCUCCCUGCUGCCAGCUUUCCUCCUCCCUUCUAUCCCAUAGGAAGCCAAGAGGCUGCUUGAGUUUCCUCUGUGGGGUAUGUGUCCCACCUGGCUUCUUCCUCUCCUGUUCGGCAACAGGUGGUUAUUUUUGUACUGUCGGCACUCCCUACCCCCGGAUGUCAGAAUUCAUUCCCAGUGGAAAUGAAGACAUUUGAGUUUCUUCCAGACUUCAAUGGGAAGAAACUGAGAAGGUAAUGCUUCCUCCCAACUCCCCCCACUCGCUCCCAAAAAAGGGACACGAGAAGCUAAGGGACAAUAUGAUCAAAAUGAUACGCAACCUUCAUCAAUAUAUU